AGCGAUGAAGCACCUUCGGGUGUGAAUUAGCGGCGAACGGGUGAGGAACACGUGAGAAAUCUGCCUUCAACACUGGGAUAACUCCGGGAAACCGGGGCUAAUACCGGAUAUGAAAUCUGCGGGCAUCCGCGGAUUUGGAAAGUUUUUCGGUUGAAGAUGAUCUCGCGGCCUAUCAGCUUGUUGGUGAGGUAAUGGCUCACCAAGGCGACGACGGGUAGCCGGCCUGAGAGGGCGACCGGCCACACUGGGACUGAGACACGGCCCAGACUCCUACGGGAGGCAGCAGUGGGGAAUAUUGGGCAAUGGAGGAAACUCUGACCCAGCGACGCCGCGUGCGGGAUGAAGGCCUUCGGGUUGUAAACCGCUUUCAGCAGGGAAGAAGCGAAAGUGACGGUACCUGCAGAAGAAGCACCGGCUAACUAUGUGCCAGCAGCCGCGGUAAUACAUAGGGUGCAAGCGUUGUCCGGAAUUAUUGGGCGUAAAGAGCUCGUAGGUGGUUCGUCACGUCGGAUGUGAAACUCUGGGGCUUAACCCCAGACCUGCAUUCGAUACGGGCGAGCUUGAGUAUGGUAGGGGAGUCUGGAAUUCCUGGUGUAGCGGUGGAAUGCGCAGAUAUCAGGAGGAACACCAA
rnacentral:rRNA from 1 species